GCGCAGCUAGCAACCAGGGAUCGUACUGCAGGGGCAAUCGGUCAUGCACCUUCCCCUCCCCUGAUCUGGAGGUCUACAGCCGCGGCCUCGGUACUGACCGAGAUUCCCAAAGUUGUCUGACCUCUGCAAAAGUGUUUCUAUCAACAGCCUCUGAUUACAACAUGGCUGAGAUCACAAAUAUACGCCCCAGCUUUGGGGUGUGCUGGAGAGCUUCGCGUACCUACAAGGAAUACUUGCACUGGUCAGCAUCCUUCUGUGGGCCUGCAAUCCUAACCGACAAGGGCACAGAAGGCAGCUGUGCUCACACGGCUCUGAGAGCUCCCUUCACAGGCACUCCUCUGACCCAAGGAGUAACAACACACAGAACAAGCAGCAAGGCACAACUCCUUUCCUCGGAGGGGCAACUGGACAGCCUUUAACCCUUUAAAAACCAGGGACUGAUUUUCACGGGUUCUGACUUCAGCACUGCAUCAUCCAGCAGCUACAAAUGCGCAGACUGACAGGAAUGGCAGCAGUUGCCUACCCUGGUGAGAUAAGCCUGUGCGAACGCCAGGUCCUUCUGCUCCCUGAGUGGGU
rnacentral:lncRNA from 1 species